AUCCCCUCUGAUCUUACCCUUGCUGGUAUUCGGUGUGGCUUGGCCAUCAUGCCAAGGCUGUUUCUUUUCCAGAAAUUUUGACGAUUAUCUAUGCUACCUUGAUCACUCGCCUGAUCUAUGCAUCCAUGCCACUCCCCGAUCCGAGUUCUCCACUGUAGUUGUGCGCGCACUGAAAUACCAGGUUGUAAGUACCAGGGAAUCAGUGUGUACUUAACUAAUUUACGGCUGUUUGUUUUUGCUAAUAACAGCUUGAUGACAUGGCACAGAUAGUCUGAUAUAUUCUGUAACUUCAGUUUUUUUCGAGAUUGUAUUCUGUAACUUCUUCAUUGUGCUUGGUAAAAAAAAUAUCUUCUAUGUUUACGCCACAAAACUUUGGAUCUGUAAGUAAUGCUAACAAUGCCUAACAGUUUUGAUAGCUUUUAUUUGGGACUGACUGACAGUAUACACUCUUUUUUUGCUUCUUUGCACUGUUAUAUUAUUUCAGUUUCCUAACAUACAGAAAAGCCCCGAUCUGUUAUCUUCAGGUUGUAGUUGAGACUUCAUUUAUGCCGAGUAUGCUGUAGCAGCUGAACAUCGUCAUCGCUCAAAUGUGUAGGAGUGCCUGCUUUCCAUGAUGUACCGAUGUCAUUGAUGUGCCUUUUGUGAUGAGAAAGGAACUAGGUAUUGCAGAUGAUGUUACGGUGGUCAUUUUCUACAUUUGAGGACAGAUUGCCAAGAUAAAUAGAGGAUGCAUGGAUAAGUUGUUUUUGGCAAGGCAGAGAAUGGGACUACUACCAACAUAGUUUUACGUUAAGUUUUUAGAAAGCCGUUUUCAUGGUCAGUGUAUAGAAAAUGAUGUGACGUCAUUUUCAGGGUCAAUGUAAAGAAAAUCAUGUGUUUACUCUUUUGAUUUUGUUCCAUGUAAUGCAACCAAUCAGAUUCAAUAUAUGAGCUCUCCCUAUUUACUGA